GGGAGGCAGCAGUGAGGAAUAUUGGUCAAUGGGCGAGAGCCUGANCCAGCCAAGUAGCGUGAAGGAUGAAGGCUCUAUGGGUCGUAAACUUCUUUUAUAUGGGAAUAAAGUUUUCCACGUGUGGAAUUUUGUAUGUACCAUAUGAAUAAGGAUCGGCUAACUCCGUGCCAGCAGCCGCGGUAAUACGGAGGAUCCGAGCGUUAUCCGGAUUUAUUGGGUUUAAAGGGAGCGUAGGUGGAUUGUUAAGUCAGUUGUGAAAGUUUGCGGCUCAACCGUAAAAUUGCAGUUGAAACUGGCAGUCUUGAGUACAGUAGAGGUGGGCGGAAUUCGUGGUGUAGCGGUGAAAUGCUUAGAUAUCACGAAGAACUCCGAUUGCGAAGGCAGCUCACUAGACUGUUACUGACACUGAUGCUCGAAAGUGUGGGUAUCAAACAGGAUUAGAUACCCUGGUAGUCCACACAGUAAACGAUGAAUACUCGCUGUUUGCGAUAUACAGUAAGCGGCCAAGCGAAAGCAUUAAGUAUUCCACCUGGGGAGUACGCCGGCAACGGUGAAACUCAAAGGAAUUGACGGGGGCCCGCACAAGCGGAGGAACAUGUGGUUUAAUUCGAUGAUACGCGAGGAACCUUACCCGGGCUUAAAUUGCAACAGAAUAUAUUGGAAACAGUAUAGCCGUAAGGCUGUUGUGAAGGUGCUGCAUGGUUGUCGUCAGCUCGUGCCGUGAGGUGUCGGCUUAAGUGCCAUAACGAGCGCAACCCUUAUCUUUAGUUACUAACAGGUUAUGCUGAGGACUCUAGAGAGACUGCCGUCGUAAGAUGUGAGGAAGGUGG
rnacentral:rRNA from 1 species